rnacentral:rRNA from 1 species
GGUGGAAGCGGGCGUGCAGCGGUGGGAGUAAGAAGGGGGUUGUGGUUGGUCGGAAUUACUGGGCGUAAAGGGGGCGUAGGGUGUGCUGUAAGUCAGGCGGGAAAGGCCCGGGCUGAACCUGGGAACUGCGUUUGAUACUGCGGCGCUGGAAUGCAGGAGAGGAUGGCGGAAUUCCCAGUGUAGAGGUGAAAUUCGUAGAUAUUGGGAAGAACACCGGUGGCGAAGGCGGCCAUCUGGCCUGCAAUUGACGCUGAGGCGCGAAAGCGUGGGGAGCAAACAGGAUUAGAUACCCCUGUAGUC